rnacentral:rRNA from 1 species
UGCCAGCCGCCGCGGUAAUACAGAAGGGGCGAGUGUUAUCCGGAAUUACUGGGCGUAAAGCGUACGUAGGCGGAUUAGUAAGUUAGAGGUGAAAUCCCAGGGCUCAACCCUGGAACUGCCUUUAAAACUGCUAGUCUUGAGAUCGAGAGAGGUGAGUGGAAUUCCAAGUGUAGAGGUGAAAUUCGUAGAUAUUUGGAGGAACACCAGUGGCGAAGGCGGCUCACUGGCUCGAUACUGACGCUGAGGUACGAAAGUGUGGGGAGCAAACAGGAUUAGAUA